CCUACGGGAGGCAGCAGUCGAGCAUCAUUCACAAUGGGGGAAACCCUGAUGGUGCGACGCCGCGUGGGGGAAUGAAGGUCUUCGGAUUGUAAACCCCUGUCAUGUGGGAGCAAAUUAAAAAGAUAGUACCACAAGAGGAAGAGACGGCUAACUCUGUGCCAGCAGCCGCGGUAAUACAGAGGUCUCAAGCGUUGUUCGGAAUCCCUGGGCGUAAAGCGUGCGUAGGCUGUUUCGUAAGUCGUGUGUGAAAGGCGCGGGCUCAACCCGCGGACGGCACAUGAUACUGCGAGACUAGAGUAAUGGAGGGGGAACCGGAAUUCUCGGUGUAGCAGUGAAAUGCGGAGAUAUCGAGAGGAACACUCGUGGCGAAGGCGGGUUCCUGGACAUUAACUGACGCUGAGGCACGAAGGCCAGGGGAGCGAAAGGGAUUAGAUACCCGUGUAGUC
rnacentral:rRNA from 1 species